GUCCUUUUUAUAAAUUUUCUUCUUAAAAAUCUUAUUAUGGUAAGGAUAAUGUAUUUGUUCCCUUCAGGUUUCUGCCACUGCAGCUGACGUUGAGACAACUCUCAGUCUUCCUGCAAGUCCUCGCCUGAUACCUGUUUCAAGUGCAACAAGGCAAGUCACAAUUAAGGGUUGGAUGAUCACCUUUAAGGGCUCUGAGGGCAUCACACCAACAUUUGAAAUUGGACUUGCUGCUAUGUUUGCAACCUACUUCAUUUUCAGCCUUCAGUAUCAAGAUGAGACAGCCUGCCCUCUGGAAUUCAUUCAGAGGCACUUCAUUGAUAUAAAUCAAGAGAGAGGAACAAAUGCCAAAAUCAUCAGACAAGAUUGUCUCUAAGAAGAAAGGUGUGAUCGUCCAGAAGUCGUCUUCUGCAGUUAAAUACACACGUGGCCAUGCUACUGAAGAAUCUCCUUGACUUUUUAAUGGAACUUCAUAUAGAUCGUGACAGCACUGGAAUAAUGCUGCAGAGAGGAACAGCGGCUACUAAAGUGAUGAUCGUCUCUUCUGGAUCCACAAGAACUAAGAUGUAAAAACACAAACCUACCUCACAGGACAAUUUUAAGAGGUAACCUGCAAGUCUAGCUUGCAGUGGCACAUGUGCCUACCCUACGGUUUCAUCCUAAAUGUUUUUAUGCAUGUUAUUGAUACAUCCUGACAAAAUGUUCUACUGUACUAUAAUAGUUUCAAAAUGGCCUUAGGUAUGUUUUCAAAAAUACUUUUUUAUGCAAAACUAUAGGUUAUGCCCUUCACAUUUGGUUAGGAUUAGGGGCAGUCUCUGAUGAGCAAUUUAAGAACGUACGUUUAUUGCCAUAGUCUAAAGCAAGAAACUACUGUUUCUGUUUACUACUAGAAAGCUUUUUCAGCAUUGUCCAACAGGAUUUAUUUUCUUUCCUUUUUUGUAUUCAUGUUGACAUUGACAUUUCUCUUUGAAAUAAAGGUGUUUGAUUUGGAAGUUUUUGUUGCUUAUUUUGCAUAAUAUUCACAAUAAUGCAUAUCUUAAGCAGUUGUCUUUAGCCCUGGGAAUUCAUUGGGCAAGUUCAUGGGAGACUGAUAUUUUAAAUAUCAAUGAAGAAUUUUUAGAGACUAAAUUUAUGUUAUUUAAAAAAUGCUGCAUAUUUCUGUGAUUAUUUGGAAAUUACAAUAAUAAUAUUACAAAUAUAUUAGGUUGUUACUUUAAACCUAAACAAUAUUAUUUUAGUUUCUAAAUAAAUCACAGAAAAAUGCAUUUAUUUUUUACUGUAUUAGACUGUGAAAUCAUUUAACAGUGUGACUACAGAAGUAUUCUGUAUUUCUGGUUUACAGACUACUACCGUAAAUUAAUUUUACAUAUGAAUACUGUAAAAAUAACGGUAUACUGCUGGCGUCUCUGCUGCCAGCUCUUUACUGUAAAUUAUAUAAAUACAGAACAAUACAGUUUUUCUGGUUUACAGACUACUACCGUAAAGUCAUUUUACGUAUAAAUACCGUAAAAAUAACAGUAUACUGCUGGCGUCUCUGCUGCCAGCUCUUUACUGUUAUUUUACAGGGAAAUU